rnacentral:rRNA from 1 species
GAUGAACGCUGGCGGCGUGCCUAAUACAUGCAAGUCGAGCGAACAGAUGAGGAGCUUGCUCCUCUGACGUUAGCGGCGGACGGGUGAGUAACACGUGGAUAACCUACCUAUAAGACAGGGAUAACUUCGGGAAACCGGAGCUAAUACCGGAUAAUAUAUUGAACCGCAUGGUUCAAUAGUGAAAGACGGUUUUGCUGUCACUUAUAGAUGGAUCCGCGCCGCAUUAGCUAGUUGGUAAGGUAACGGCUUACCAAGGCAACAAUGCGUAGCCGACCUGAGAGGGUGAUCGGCCACACUGGAACUGAGACACGGUCCAGACUCCUACGGGAGGCAGCAGUAGGGAAUCUUCCGCAAUGGGCGAAAGCCUGACGGAGCAACGCCGCGUGAGUGAUGAAGGUCUUCGGAUCGUAAAACUCUGUUAUUAGGGAAGAACAAAUGUGUAAGUAACUAUGCACGUCUUGACGGUACCUAAUCAGAAAGCCACGGCUAACUACGUG